UACGUAGGGGGCAAGCGUUGUCCGGAUUUAUUGGGCGUAAAGAGCGUGUAGGCGGCCAGACAGGUCAGCUGUGAAAACUCGAGGCUCAACCUCGAGACGUCGGUUGAAACCGUCUGGCUAGAGUCCGGAAGAGGAGAGUGGAAUUCCCGGUGUAGCGGUGAAAUGCGCAGAUAUCGGGAGGAACACCUGUGGCGAAAGCGGCUCACUGGACCAUAACUGACGCUGAUGCACGAAAGCUGGGGGAGCAAACAGG
rnacentral:rRNA from 1 species